AACGAACGCUGGCGGCAGGCCUAACACAUGCAAGUCGAACGCGCGUAGCAAUACGCGAGUGGCGCACGGGUGAGUAACACGUGGGAACCAACCCAGAGGUUCGGAAUAACCGCGGGAAACUGCGGCUAAUACCGGAUAUCCCCUACGGGGGAAAGAUUUAUCGCCUCUGGACGGGCCCGCGUCCGAUUAGCUAGUUGGUGAGGUAAUGGCCUCA
rnacentral:rRNA from 1 species